CUACGGGGCACUGCAGUUAGGGAUAUUCGGCAAUGGGGGAAACCCUGACCGAGCAAUGCCGCGUGAAUGAAGAAGUAUUUCGAUAUGUAAAGUUCUGUUGUUAAGGAAGAAAGGUACGAAUAGGAAAUGAUUCGUAAUUAACGGUACUUAACCAGAAAGCCCCUGCUAACUACGUGCCAGCAGCAGCGGUAAUACGUAGGGGGCGAGCGUUAUCCGGAAUUAUUGGGCGUAAAGGGUGCGUAGGCGGCCUGUCAAGUCCGAGUUGAAAGCCCACGGCUUAACCGUGGAGGGUGCUCGGAAACUGAUAGGCUUGAAUCCAGAAGAGGCAAGUGGAAUUCUAUGUGGAGCGGUGGAAUGCGUAGAUAUAUGGAGGAACACCAGUGGCGAAGGCGGCUUGCUGGGCUGGUAUUGACGCUGAUGCACGAAAGCGUGGGGAGCAAACAGGAUUAGAUACCCGAGUAGUC
rnacentral:rRNA from 1 species